CUGUGUACUUUGUCUUUAAGAGAUAUUGCAAACUGACAAGGUGUUAGAAAUGGAACAUAUUGUUUUUCAUAACUGUUUCUUUAAGCAAUAACCUCAGUGCAUAAUAUGUUUGCGCCAUUUUGUCCCAGACGAAAUACAAUAAUGCAUAAACAAGCUUCAAGGCUAUGCUACGACUCUUGCAGUACACAAUAUACUGUGGUAACCCCAAGUUAAUGGAACUUCCCCAAAUCCGGGAAUCUCCCACGACUGUACACUUACGACUUAGUAUAAACAACAGAUAACCUAUUCAGACUUUAAGAUGCCAUCUUGAACUAAGUCAGGAAAAUUUCCAUGACGUAUACA
rnacentral:lncRNA from 1 species